UACGGGGGGGAGCAAGCGUUGUUCGGAUUUACUGGGCGUAAAGGGCGCGUAGGCGGCCAGCACAAGUCAGUUGUGAAAUCUCCGAGCUUAACUCGGAAAGGUCAACUGAUACUGUGCGGCUAGAGUGCGGAAGGGGCAACUGGAAUUCUCGGUGUAGCGGUGAAAUGCGUAGAGAUGGGGGAGAACACUCGUGGCGAAGGCGGCCAGCUAGACCAGUUCUGACACUGAGGCGCGACAGCGUGGGGAGCAAACAGG
rnacentral:rRNA from 1 species